rnacentral:misc_RNA from 1 species
UCGGACUGUUUCCAACGCGCUGUUGUCUCCGCUUGUAACAUUGAUUUGGUUUUGCGCGAAAAUCAUUCGCUAUCGCGGUUAUCAAAAAGGCCUGGCGUGCACUCCAAGCGACGCGCCUGCGUUAGCGGUCGUUAUUCCACUGGUGCGUCAAACUGCUUCGGCACCCCGAUAAAUCUGCCGUUGGCCACUGUUGCCCCCCCCUCCCCCUCGUUUUUCACUCAACGUAAGCGCACUACGGUACCUGACCCAGCAACCCAGCCGCCAUGGGAGAGAAGCAGUCGAAGGGGUACUGGCAGGAGGACGAGGAUGCGCCGGCAUGCAACGGGUGCGGCUGCGUCUUUUCCACCACGGUGCGCCGCCACCACUGCCGCAACUGCGGCUACGUCUUAUGUGGUGACUGCUCGCGGCACCGGGCUGCCAUUCCGAUGCGGGGCAUAACGGAACCAGAGCGCGUCUGUGACGCGUGCUAUCUUGCUCUACGCAACAGCAACAUGGCAGGGAGCAGUCUCAGCAAGGGAGGUAUGGUGCCCAUCAUCAACCCAAGUGAAGCGGCCAAUCGACCAGCUGCGUGGGCGGCAGGCGGCACCGCCGGCGGUCCAUCAGCCGACCCGAGAGUGUCGGAUGCAGCCGGUGUCGUGGCUGAAGCGCAGCCAUCGAGUACCGCGCCAGAGCUGACCGAGGAGCAGCGAAAGGCGGAAGAAUACUACCAUAACCUGUACGGCGGUGGCGCCGGUGAUCAUGGCGACAACGACGCCGCAGGGACUGCCGGGGCUCACCAGGGGACGAUCAGCCCGGAGGCGCUGGAGAAGGAGCUGCUCAUCCAGCGCUGGAACACGGUGCGGCAGGCCACCGUCUACGUUGACAUUCUCGUGCAGCAGUCGGAGCGCGUGGAGCCGGAUACGGCGGUGGAGUACAGUCGUGAGACGGAGGCUCUCACCCUGGAGCCGGAGCUACCCAUCAACCAGCUCGGCACUCGGAUGUUGCCGUUGCCGCCGCCCACCACCGAUAGCGCUCGCUACCUCGUAGAGCCAGUGACGAUCAUUGGAAUGCCCAGUACCACACUGGAAAAGGUGGCCGCGGAUCUGAAACAGCGGCUUGCGACGCGGAUGCCAACGCAUGCAUUAACACGUGAGCCGGCCGACAACUUUGUGGGCUAUUAGAGGUGGCGGCGUGCUUUCUUCUGCUUCGUUCCCUUUUUUUCUGGUGGCACACAUUCAUAAUGUGAUGUACGUGUUUAGGUGAAAGGCGCCGAUGAGGGGAAGCAACAGCAUGCACUGUUGCGCGUGCCGUUGAGUGUGUGUAUGUGCGUAUGCGUGCGUGCGUGUCGCGCUUUUUCUUCUUGACCCUCUCCCCUCCCGUCGCCGUGUUUCCAAGGUGCGUUGUCUUCUGCUUGGUGCUCCGUCUCUCCCUAUUGUGCUAGUGAUAAG